GACGAACGCUGGCGGCGUGCUUAACACAUGCAAGUCGAACGGAAAGGCCCUGCUUUUGCGGGGUGCUCGAGAGGCGAACGGGUGAGUAACACGUGAGUAACCUGCCCUUGACUUUGGGAUAACUUCAGGAAACUGGGGCUAAUACCGGAUAGGAGCUCCUGCUGCAUGGGGUUGGUUGGAAAGUUUCGGCGGUUGGGGCUGGACUCGCAGCUUAUGAGCUUGUUGGUGUGGUAGUUGCUUACAACGGCUUUGACGGGUAGCCGGCCUGAGAGCGUGACCGGCCACAUUGGGACUGAGAUACGGACCAGACUCCUACGGGCGGCAGCAGUGGGGAAUAUUGCACAAUGGGCGGACGCCUGAUGCAGCAACGCCGCGUGCGGGAUGACGGCCUUCGGGUUGUAAACCGAUUUCGCCUGUGCCGAAGCGUGAGUGACGGUAAUGGGUAAAGAAGCACCGGCUAACUACGUG
rnacentral:rRNA from 1 species